UCAUGUUUAGCCGUGAUGCGUGCAUGAGCCUGUUUAUUAAUCCGCUCUCCCUCUCUCUCUCCCCCUCUCUCUCUUUCAUUUUCUUAUUAUUACUUUAUUAUUUUCUCUUUCGACACAAGCGAAGCUAUGUCAGUUGGACACGCGCUCGGAAAUCCUAUCUACACCUCUCGCGCGGGUGACGGGUGUUAUUUGGCCCGACACUCUGCUCUCUCCCUCCAUCCAACCUUAUCUUCUCAGUCGGCUGCCCUCAACCUUGUCUUCCCCGGUCGCCCCCCACGCGUUCUUCUCCACAUACAUGCGCAGAACUCCCACAACGCCCACCCAUCCCCUCCCUCCUUCCCAGCUCUGGAUCCAGAUGGAAUCGAGGCCACAACCGAGCGUCUCCUCAUGGCCUCUUCACGAGCUCCCACUGCCGCCUGGAGCUCAAGCUGCCAGCCGUCCAAGGCCUCGCCAGGAACGGAUCCGCGACACCGUGCCUCGUCCUCGCACAUGCCCGGCCGCGCCAUCGGAGCCCCCCGCAGAGGCAGUGCUCCGCCACCCGAUGCUGUUCUUCGUGUCGCCCCACGCUCCCAAAGCUGGGAACCGGCUCCCCGCCUCCAAGUUCUCGGCAUCGACGUCCCGUGCUGCCUGCACCCUCGCCAAGCCCGACUCGCAGCCGUGGAGCCCGAGCUCGCCAAGGCGCUUCAACUCCGCUGCCGCGCCAUACCUCUCUCUGUCGCUCCGUCCGCCGCCCGUGGUGCCGUGACCCGCCACUGCCGUGCCCUGCAUCGCUCUGUAGCCGCGCCGCCUGGGUCGAUGCGGUCAGCGCUCCCAAGCCGUUGACCCUGCGCCAGGGGACGACUAUAUCCUCCCAUGCGUGCGCGCCCGUGCUCCAGCCCUCCCCUCCCCAUGCUGCCGGCACACUCGCGCCACGGGGCCGUAUCCAGCCUGUGCCUGGACGACGGAAGCCCCCCCACUGUCCGUGCGCUCCGGCCAGCUCCCUGUCGCGCUCGAGACCUCCUCUAGUCUUCCCGCCGAGGCCUUCCCUGUGACCAGCCUUUGACUUGGGUCUCCUGUCCGCCUCGGCGCGGACGCCCGCCACGACGCCGGCGGCAAGCGGCGGCGCGUGCCCGGCGAUGGAGAACGGAAGGAUAAGCGGCGAGACGCGUGGUGCUGAGCCAGUCAAUAAGGAAUAAGGGCCGCGGGCAUAGUUUCUAACAAAUUUAGGGGGUUUUACGCAAAAACGAAACGUUUUUCCAAAGUGCCACUUAAACAGGGACUGCGGGUUAAUUU